rnacentral:rRNA from 1 species
GGAUUAGAUACCCUGGUAGUCCACGCCGUAAACGAUGUGAACUAGUCGUCGGGUCUUAAGGCUCGGUGACGGAGCUAACGCAUUAAGUUCACCGCCUGGGGAGUACGGUCGCAAGAUUAAAACUCAAAGGAAUUGACGGGGGCCCGCACAAGCGGUGGAGCAUGUGGUUUAAUUCGAUGCAACGCGAAGAACCUUACCAUCCCUUGACAUCCCACUGACCUCUCCCUAAUCGGAGACUUCCCUUCGGGGACAGUGGUGACAGGUGGUGCAUGGUUGUCGUCAGCUCAUGCCG